rnacentral:rRNA from 1 species
GGGGUGCGGAAGGAUCAUUAAAGAACGUUAGCGGGUCCUCUUUUGAAUUGAACGGGAUGUCUGAACCCUUGAAUAUAAAACCUCGUUGCUUUGGCGAGCCGCCUUCGAGGCAUUGGCAUUGGCUGAUUGUGCUUGCCAGAGGACAAAUACUCUUGCAUCUUAGUGACGUCUGAGUAUUAUAAAAUAGUUAAAACUUUCAACAACGGAUCUCUUGGUUCUGGCAUCGAUGAAGAACGCAGCGAAAUGCGAUAAGUAAUGUGAAUUGCAGAAUUCAGUGAAUCAUCGAAUCUUUGAACGCACAUUGCGCCCCUUGGUAUUCCGAGGGGCAUGCCUGUUCGAGCGUCAUAUAAACACAUCCCUCACGGGGUCUUGGGUUCCGCCUCUCGGCGGUCCCUAAAGUCAGUGGCAGUGCCAUCUGGCUCUAAGCGUAGUAAUUCUCCUCGCUAUAGUGUCCUGGUGAUUGCUCGCCAACAACUCCCAACUAUCUACGUUUGACCUCGGAUCAGGUAGGGAUACCCGCUGAACUUAAGCAUAUCA